rnacentral:tRNA from 3 species
GGAAAGAUAGCGAAGAGGCUAAACGCGGCGGACUGUAAAUCCGCUCCUUCGGGUCCGGGGGUUCGAAUCCCUCUCUUUCCA